rnacentral:rRNA from 1 species
CCUACGGGAGGCAGCAGUGGGGAAUAUUGGACAAUGGGCGCAAGCCUGAUCCAGCAAUGCCGCGUGUGUGAAGAAGGCCUGCGGGUUGUAAAGCACUUUUAGUGGGGAGGAAAUGCUUAGGGUUAAUACCCCUUGGUUUUGACGUUACCUACAGAAGAAGCACCGGCUAACUCCGUGCCAGCAGCCGCGGUAAU